GUACCAAGGAAGAUGAAAAGGACUCCAGUGGUUGAAUCUCUUUCCCUUCUCUGUACUAGGGACUACACAGAAGGUUUGUCCUGAGGACCUGGGUAUCGUGGUAUAUGCAUCAUUCACAUCAGCUCUACAGUUUGGAAAAACAAUCCGGGUGUGCCAAGGGCAAGAUGUGGGAAGACCUGUAAGACUUCAGGCAAGGAGGCAGGUGAGGCCCCCUCCAUGGACCAUGU
rnacentral:lncRNA from 1 species